rnacentral:rRNA from 1 species
GAUGAACGCUGGCGGCGUGCCUAAUACAUGCAAGUCGAGCGAACGGACGAGAAGCUUGCUUUUCUGAUGUUAGCGGCGGACGGGUGAGUACCACGUGGAUAACCUACCUAUAAGACUGGGAUAACUUCGGGAAACCGGAGCUAAUACCGGAUAAUAUUUUGAACCGCAUGGUUCAAAAGUGAAAGACGGUCCUGCUGUCACUUAUAGAUGGAUCCGCGCUGCAUUAGCUAGUUGGUAAGGUAACGGCUUACCAAGGCAACGAUGCAUAGCCGACCUGAGAGGGUGAUCGGCCACACUGGAACUGAGACACGGUCCAGACUCCUACGGGAGGCAGCAGUAGGGAAUCUUCCGCAAUGGGCGAAAGCCUGACGGAGCAACGCCGCGUGAGUGAUGAAGGUCUUCGGAUCGUAAAACUCUGUUAUUAGGGAAGAACAUAUGUGUAAGUAACUGUGCACAUCUUGACGGUACCUAAUCAGAAAGCCACGGCUAACUACGUG